GACGAACGCUGGCGGCGUGCUUAACACAUGCAAGUCGAACGAGAAUCUAUGGAUCGAGGAUUCGUCCAAGUGAAGUAGAGGACAGUGGCGGACGGGUGAGUAACGCGUGAGGAACCUGCCUUUCAGAGGGGGACAACAGUUGGAAACGGACGCCAAUACCGCAUAAAAUUAUCCAGUCGCAUGGCAGGAUAAUCAAAGGAGCAAUCCGCUGAAGGAUGGACUCGCGUCCGAUUAGAUAGUUGGCGGGGUAACGGCCCACCAAGUCGACGAUCGGUAGCCGGACUGAGAGGUUGAACGGCCACAUUGGGACUGAGACACGGCCCAGACUCCUACGGGAGGCAGCAGUGGGGGAUAUUGCACAAUGGGCGAAAGCCUGAUGCAGCAACGCCGCGUGAGGGAAGACGGUUUCGGAUUGUAAACCUCUGUUCUAAGUGACGAAGAAUGACGGUAGCUUAGGAGGAAGCCCGGCUAACUACGUGCCAGCCGCCGCAGUAAU
rnacentral:rRNA from 1 species